AUUGAACGCUGGCGGCAGGCUUAACACAUGCGAGUCGAGCGGGGUGAUGGUGCUUGCACUAUCACUUAGCGGCGGACGGGUGAGUAAUGCUUAGGAAUCUGCCUAUUAGUGGGGGACAACAUCUCGAAAGGGAUGCUAAUACCGCAUACGUCCUACGGGAGAAAGCAGGGGAUCACUUGUGACCUUGCGCUAAUAGAUGAGCCUAAGUCGGAUUAGCUAGUUGGUGGGGUAAAGGCCUACCAAGGCGACGAUCCGUAGCGGGUCUGAGAGGAUGAUCCGCCACACUGGGAAUUGGGCACGGCCCAGACUCCUACGGGAGGCAGGAGUGGGGAAGAUUGGACAAUGGGGGGAAUCCUGAUCCAGCCAUGCCGCGUGUGGGAAGAAGGCCUUAUGGUUGUAAAGCACUUUAAGCGAGGAAGAGGCUCUUUUGGUUAAUACCCAGGAUGAGUGGACGUUACUCGCAGAAUAAGCACCGGCUAACUCUGUGCCAGCAGCCGCCGUAA
rnacentral:rRNA from 1 species